rnacentral:misc_RNA from 1 species
UCGUAACAAAAGCGUGUGCACUGUCUUGGAGAAAGGCUUCAGAGAAGUUUUUUGUGGCCUCUCUUGGGGUCUUUCUUCGCUACAAACUCGAAUGGUUAGUAUGAACGUGGAACUUGGUUGGACCGUCACUGGCCAACAAACUAUACA